rnacentral:rRNA from 1 species
AGAGUUUGAUCAUGGCUCAGGACGAACGCUGGCGGCGUGGAUUAGGCAUGCAAGUCGAACGGUAUAAACCUUUCGGGGUUUAGAGAGUGGCGAACGGGUGAGUAACACGUAGGUAAUCUACCCUCAAAACGGGGACAACCCAGGGAAACUUGGGCUAAUACCGGAUGCGUGCAAGCAAUGUUUUGGCUGUUAAUGCUAUUCACGGAAGUGAGUAGUGUUAAUGGUUGAGAGCAUUAUUUGCAUAAAAGGUGGCAUAUGCUGCCGUUUGAGGAUGAGCCUGCGUCCUAUUAGUUAGUUGGUGAGGUAAUGGCUUACCAAGGCGAUGAUAGGUAGGCGGCCUUAACGGGUGGUCGCCCACACUGGGAUUGAGAGACGGCCCAGACUCCUACGGGAGGCAGCAGUCGAGAAUAGUCUACAAUGGACGGAAGUCUGAUAGUGCGACGCCGCGUGAACGAAGAAUCCCUUCGGGGUGUAAAGUUCUUUUAUACGUGAGCAGUGCCCUUUAUAUGAAUAGUAUAGAGGGAGGGAUUUAAGCGUAUGAAUAAGCAACGGCUAACUCCGUGCCAGCAGCCGCGGUAACACGGGGGUUGCAAGCGUUGUCCGGAAUUACUAGGCGUAAAGUGCAGGUAGGCGGAUAGAUAAGUUUAAGGUUAAAGGCUACGGCUUACCCGUAGUAAGGCGUUAGAUACUGUUUAUCUGGAAUGCGGUUGAGGGAGACAGAAUUCCUGGUGUAGCGGUGGAAUGCGCAGAGAUCAGGAGGAAUACCGAAGGCGAACGCAGUCUUCUAAGCCGAUAUUGACGCUAAACUGCGAAGGUGUGGGGAUCAAACAGGAUUAGAUACCCUGGUAGUCCACACAGUAAACGAUAAUCACUAGGUGUUGGGUUCGUAUAGGACUCGGUGCCGGAGCUAACGCGAUAAGUGAUUCGCCUGGGGGAGUACGAUCGCAAGGUGAAACUCAAAUGAAUUGACGG